rnacentral:rRNA from 1 species
CAGUAGCCGCGGUAAAACGUAGGGUGCGAGCGUUAAUCGGAAUUGCUGGGCGUAAAGCGUGCGCAGGCGGUUUUGUAAGACAGGCGUGAAAUCCCCGGGCUUAACCUGGGAAUGGCGCUUGUGACUGCAAGGCUAGAGUGCGUCAGAGGGGGGUAGAAUUCCACGUGUAGCAGUGAAAUGCGUAGAGAUGUGGAGGAAUACCGAUGGCGAAGGCAGCCCCCUGGGACGAGACUGACGCUCAUACACGAAAGCGUGGGGAGCAAACAGGAUUAGAUACCCCAGUAGUCCCUGUCUCUUAUAC